rnacentral:lncRNA from 1 species
UCAAGGGCUGCACUGGAGUUUUUUUAAUAGGUUGAUCUCCUUCCUAGAGACACUGAUUUGAACUACAUCUGCUACUGUAUUAUCGAGUUAGUUGUCAAGUAGAAGCUUAAGUACGAAUUCCAGUGAAAACUGUACAUCGUCAAAAUGGCUUAGUCACAUGUUCAAAGGAACUGUAGUUUCAUCAAUGGAGAUCUCAUUUGGCAUGUACACUAAAUC